GGGGCUGUGGUUCAGUGGAAGAGUGUCUGCUUUGUGUGCAGAAGGUCCCAGGUUCAAUCCCUGGCUUUGCCA